rnacentral:rRNA from 1 species
GUGAACGCUGGCGGUAGGCCUAACACAUGCAAGUCGCACGGCAGCACAGUAAGAGCUUGCUCUUACGGGUGGCGAGUGGCGGACGGGUGAGGAAUACAUCGGAAUCUACUUUUUCGUGGGGGAUAACGUAGGGAAACUUACGCUAAUACCGCAUACGACCUACGGGUGAAAGCAGGGGAUCUUCGGACCUUGCGCGAUUGAAUGAGCCGAUGUCGGAUUAGCUAGUUGGCGGGGUAAAGGCCCACCAAGGCGACGAUCCGUAGCUGGUCUGAGAGGAUGAUCAGCCACACUGGAACUGAGACACGGUCCAGACUCCUACGGGAGGCAGCAGUGGGGAAUAUUGGACAAUGGGCGCAAGCCUGAUCCAGCCAUACCGCGUGGGUGAAGAAGGCCUUCGGGUUGUAAAGCCCUUUUGUUGGGAAAGAAAAGCAGCAGGUUAAUACCCCGCUGUUCUGACGGUACCCAAAGAAUAAGCACCGGCUAACUUCG